CAUGCAAGUCGAGGGGCAGCAUAAUGGAUAGCAAUAUCUAUGGUGGCGACCGGCGCACGGGUGCGUAACGCGUAUGCAACCUACCUUUAACAGGGGGAUAACACUGAGAAAUUGGUACUAAUACCCCAUAAUAUCAUAGAAGGCAUCUUUUAUGGUUGAAAAUUCCGAUGGUUAGAGAUGGGCAUGCGUUGUAUUAGCUAGUUGGUGGGGUAACGGCUCACCAAGGCGACGAUACAUAGGGGGACUGAGAGGUUAACCCCCCACACUGGUACUGAGACACGGACCAGACUCCUACGGGAGGCAGCAGUGAGGAAUAUUGGUCAAUGGACGCAAGUCUGAACCAGCCAUGCCGCGUGCAGGAUGACGGCUCUAUGAGUUGUAAACUGCUUUUGUACGAGGGUAAACGCAGAUACGUGUAUCUGUCUGAAAGUAUCGUACGAAUAAGGAUCGGCUAACUCCGUGCCAGCAGCCGCGGUAAUACGGAGGAUUCAAGCGUUAUCCGGAUUUAUUGGGUUUAAAGGGUGCGUAGGCGGUUUGAUAAGUUAGAGGUGAAAUUUCGGGGCUCAACCCUGAACGUGCCUCUAAUACUGUUGAGCUAGAGAGUAGUUGCGGUAGGCGGAAUGUAUGGUGUAGCGGUGAAAUGCUU
rnacentral:rRNA from 1 species